rnacentral:rRNA from 1 species
GACGAACGCUGGCGGCGUGCUUAACACAUGCAAGUCGAACGGUAAGGCCCUUCGGGGUACACGAGUGGCGAACGGGUGAGUAACACGUGGGUGAUCUGCCCUGCACUUCGGGAUAAGCCUGGGAAACUGGGUCUAAUACCGGAUAGGACCACUGCCUGCAUGGGUGGUGGUGGAAAGCUUUUGCGGUGUGGGAUGGGCCCGCGGCCUAUCAGCUUGUUGGUGGGGUGAUGGCCUACCAAGGCGACGGCGGGUAGCCCGCCUGAGAGGGUGACCGGCCACACUGGGACUGAGAUACGGCCCAGACUCCUACGGGGGGCAGCGGUGGGGAAUAUUGCCCAAUGGGCGCAAGCCUGAUGCAGCGACGCCGCGUGUGGGAUGACGGCCUUCGGGUUGUAAACCUCUUUCAGCACCGACGAAGCGCAAGUGACGGUAGGUGCAGAAGAAGGACCGGCCAACUACGUGCCAGCCGCCGCCGUAA